GCUUUAGGCAGUGGAUCAACUGAAUGCCUUAAAUUCUCUAUUGAACCUUGGCAGUGUUAUGGAAGAAGUCUGCAGCCAAUCCAUGGGUCCCUGGUACAGCUCCAGCAGCUUAACAGAUGGAUCACCAGUAAAGGAUUUACAAAAACUGUCCUGUUCCUGGAAACAAUGCUGGCUUCAGCCAAUCAGGUUUUAGCAGAGAGCAUAAGGAAAAUCUCAUAUACCUGACAUACUGCAGAUUGGAUUUAAAACUAAGAAGAAAAAUGUAUUCAAAGCUCUGAAUGAAACCACUCUCAAGGGAAAGCUGGAGUCCUUUAUUUGAAGAUCUGGCUGCUACUGCUCUGUCUUACUGUGUUUGAGGGGGUAUUGGAGGGAUUUAUGAAGAGUGAGUGAUUCCUCAUAUUAGCAGUUUCCUAUACAUAAUUUCAGCAUGGCAGCUGAGAUAAAGCUGAAGAUCAUCCCUGUCAUUCUAUCCCUAAUGUGUCUAGUAACAGUUAUGGCACUUUCAUGCAGUUCAGACUUUUCUCUUGAACUUUACUCCAACUGUGUCUGGAUCUCAGUUUCCCAUAAAUCAGAUAUAUAUGAACAGUAAUAGAGAUUUCUAUAGGUUUCUACUGUCUGUAUUUUUUUCUUCAAAGUUCUGGCCUCCUGUUUAUGAGAAAAAUCAUUACAUGUCAUAUCAAAUUUUCUUAAAUAAGAAUCCUU